AUUGAACGCUGGCGGCAGGCCUAACACAUGCAAGUCGAACGGUAACAGGAAGCAGCUUGCUGCUUCGCUGACGAGUGGCGGACGGGUGAGUAAUGUCUGGGAAGCUGCCUGAUGGAGGGGGAUAACUACUGGAAACGGUAGCUAAUACCGCAUAAUGUCGCAAGACCAAAGAGGGGGACCUUCGGGCCUCUUGCCAUCGGAUGUGCCCAGAUGGGAUUAGCUUGUUGGUGGGGUAACGGCUCACCAAGGCGACGAUCCCUAGCUGGUCUGAGAGGAUGACCAGCCACACUGGAACUGAGACACGGUCCAGACUCCUACGGGAGGCAGCAGUGGGGAGUAUUGCACAAUGGGCGCAAGCCUGAUGCAGCCAUGCCGCGUGUAUGAAGAAGGCCUUCGGGUUGUAAAGUACUUUCAGCGGGGAGGAAGGGAGUAAAGUUAAUACCUUUGCUCAUUGACGUUACCCGCAGAAGAAGCACCGGCUAACUCCGUG
rnacentral:rRNA from 1 species